rnacentral:sRNA from 1 species
GUUGGGGAGCGCGAGGGGGUGGCUCGAGGUGGGAGCCAGGGACAGGAGGAAAUAGCAGGAAGACCCAGGGCCGGGGGGGCCGCUGUUCAAGCGUUGAGGAACGUUUCAUCCCUUCUGAAUCUCAGGCCUCGCUGGACCACGGACCCGCCUGGUUCUCCCGUAACUUGCGGGGCUCCUGGACCGGCCCUUCCGAGAGGCGCAGCCCUGAGUCCCAGGAGCCGGACCUGAACCAGGAAGAGGAGGGGCGAGCACAGUCCUGCCUCCUCCUCCCCGCACACUGCAGGGGGAGUGACCCUCCACUGCCUUCCUCCCCACACACUGCAGGGGGAGGACCCCACUGCCUCCCCCCCACACACUGCAGGGGGAGUGACCCCACCUGCCUCCUCCUCCUCACACACUGCAGGGGGAGUGACCCCCCACUGCCUCCUCCUCCCCACACACUGCAGGGGGAGUGACCCCCCACUGCCUCCUCCUCCCACACACUGCAGGGGGAGUGACCCCCCACUGCCCCUCCUCCCCACACACUGCAGGGGGAGUGACCCCCCACUGCCUCCUCCUCCCCACACACUGCAGGGGGAGAUGACCCCCCACUGCCCUCCUCCUCCCACACACUGCAGGGGGAGUGACCCCCACUGCCUCCUCCUCCUCACACACUGCAGGGGGAGUGACCCCCACUGCCUCCUCCUCCCCACACACUGCAGGGGGAGUGACCCCACUGCCUCCUCCUCCCCACACACUGCAGGGGAUGACCCCCACUGCCUCCUCCUCCCCACACACUGCAGGGGGAAUGACCCCCGUAUUUUAAUGCAGUGGCUUCUCUGAUCACUCACAGUCUAGCACUAGCAUGCAGCAGUCGGGGAGAUGCUGUGGGUGUGAGACGCCCUGGAUUUUGAAGGCUCUACAUGAAAAAGAAUGUAGAGAAUCUGAAUGCAUUUUAUGUAUAGAUUGCAUGUUGAAAUGAUGCUGUUGGGAUAUAUUAGGCAAAAUAAAAUCUAUCACAAUUU